UUACCAUAUCUCAUUACUUCAUUCAUUAAAUUGAUUCAUUAUUCCUUUUGGGGUUUUUUUCUUGUUCUAUCUAUUGAUGUGGAUUACAAAUUUUCCUAUUUUCUUCUGAUUUCCUGUGUAUGUUUCGUUAUUAAUUAUCGAUUUUUCACUUAUUUCUUAAGAAUAAUGCGGGACAUGAAUAAAGUAGAAUGGAUAGAGAGUAUUCAUAUGGCUGGCUGCCCCAACUAAUUUGGAUUGAUUGAUAUACGGGGGUGCUGCUUUGUGUUUAUAUACUAACAAAUUAUUGAAUUAAGUCGCUUAACUGUUGACCCAAAUAAUCUUUUUCUAGUGCUUGAAAGGGUUGAAUUUUCCUUUAGAUUGUAAAACAAACGCAUUCUUCUGCUACAAUCUGACCUCUAGAAGAUUUGAAAGUUCCGGGUUCCAUACCUACUUUGAACAGUAGGUGUGUAGCAUUUUUGCAUCAACCAUGUUAAUAGUUACAGAGGGUAAAAAAUAAAUAACAUAUACUCUAUCAUCUAUCGUUUAAAUAAGAAAGUCUUGGCUCGGUGUCUUGGAUUAGAGUUAGAGGAGGUCCAGGGUUCAAACCGACUUAACCACAAAUAUUUAAAAACUGCUUGCUUAAAAAGUUUACCCAAAGGAAAGUGGUAAUUUGGGUUGGAACCUCUGACCACAAUAGUCAAAGUUAAGCUGCUAACCAGCUCGCCAAAAAGAACUGAUUAUCAAGUUGUUGUGUGUAUCCUAGCUGGAGUACCCUAAGGUUCUAUAUGAAGCAAGCUAAAAUGGUUUUAAAAAGUGUAUAAAAAAUAAUUCAAACUUGCGACCCUAGAAAGUAAAAUCCAACUUUUCACCGGCGGCACCAUGCACUCACUCGGUACUCCCAGGUGGCAGGAUUAGUAUUUAGAGUAUUUCACUAUUUCUUAUACAUAUAUACAGGAUUUCACCCGAGACGUCCUGGUGGUGUGGCACCCCCACUCUUCUACAUAGAUCCGCCCCUGUAUAAUACCAUUUCACUAUAACAACCAAGUUUUCUUUAGAGCCCAUCUUGUAUGUUAUAUUCUAUAACAGUUUUUUGCCUAUGACAAUAAUAUCCGUCAAUAGAAACCCUCAGGGGUUGGCCUGGUGGCAAUUGACUUGAGCCUUGGGGUGCUCCCUUUCAAGGUCUCAAGUUCGAAACCCACUGGGUGCAAACAAUUUCUGAGGGCCAUCGGACUGGGUAAAACCCUGAAUUACCCGUGGUGCACUUGCGGGAAACUCCUUGCCGAGGGCCUGUGCACCUCCGGGAUUAGUCGGGGCUCAAAGAGCCUCGGACACCCGGUGCUUAAUCAAAAAAUAAUAUCCGUCAAUAGAACAGUACACUCCUUGUAAAGUUAACUUUUUAUAAAAAUAUAGUACUAUUUGUUGUCAUAAAGCCACAUAAAGUAUAGGAUAUUUUAUGUGGAUUUACAUUUAGUAGAGGAAAGGAAGUAAAAUAUUCUUCCACUAAUGUUACAUAAUAUUCUACAUUAAAUGUAGAAUAUCCUUAAUAAUAUUUCAUAUAUUCAUAGUAUCUCUUCAUAUUCACCAUAUCGAGAAUAUCUUAAUGUAGAUAUUCUACAAUCUGUCCAUUAUGCUAACAUCCCCCCUCAAAUUGAUGCCGGUGGAUCAACAAGCAUCAAUUUGCCUACUAGAACCGAUGACGUUGUCGUGCCAUUGAUUUUGUUAACACAUCAGCUAUCUGAAGAUCACUGGAUACAUGUGGAAGAGUAAUAACUCUUCUAUCUACAACUUCUCUGAUAAAAUGACAGUCCACUUCAAUAUGCUUGGUUCUUUCGUGAUACACUGGAUUGGUUGCAAUCUAAAUGGCACUUGUGUUGUCAGCAUGGAGAGGAGUAGGACUAGAUUGAGGAAAUCCUAUUUCUGCAAGUGAACCACGAAGCCAAAUAAUCUCGGAACAAGCAGUAGACAUUGCUCAAUAUUCAGCCUCCGUUGAAGAUUUUGAAACACGAUCUUGCUUCUUGCUCUUCCAAGAUAUCAAAGAAUCUCCGAGAAACAUGCACCAUCCCGUGACGGAGCGGCUAGUAUCAGAACAUCCAGCCCAAUCAGAAUCACUAAACACUUUAAGCUGAAUAGGAGAGCCACUAGGAAAAAAUAAUCCACGAGUAGAUGUUCCUGAGAGAUAUCGAAUGAUGCGACGAACAGCCACUAAAUGUAGAUGACGGGGAGUCUGCAUAAAUUGACUGACUUGUUGAACUGCAAAAGAGAUAUCAUGCCUAGUAAUAGUAAGAUAAUUUAGGCUCCCAACUAAUUGUCGAAACAAAGUUGGAUCAGGAAUAAGAUCUCCUUCAUCACGGCGAUACUUUACAUUCAAUUCCAAUGGAGUAUCAACAGAGGGUGAUUCUUGAAGACCAGCCAAAGCAAUCAAAUCCUGAGUAUAUUUGUGCUGGUUUAAGAAAACACCUAAAGAAUUAUAAUGAACUUCCAACCCCAAGAAAUAUGUUACCAAGAUCUUUCAUAUGAAAAGAAUCCUUAAAUUUCUGCUGGAGGCUAGUGAUUGAUGAAGAAUCAGUAUCUGUGAUAAUGAUGUCAUCUACAUAUACCAAAAGAAGAACACAACCUGUAGAUGUUUUCCGAAGAAACAAAGAUAGAGUCAUAUUUACUUUGUUCAAAAGAGAAUUGAAGCAAUGUAGAUCGAAACUUGUCAAACCAAGCUCUGGGAGCUUGUUUUAAUCCAUACAAAGAUCGCUUCAACUUGCAAACGUCUGAUGUGGGUGAUGAAAACAAACCAGGUGGAGGUUUCAUAUAAAUAUCUUCUUUCAGAUCACCAUGGAGAAGCAUUUUUUACGUCCAUUUGAUGAAGAGGCCAGGUCUGUGAUGCAGCAAUGGCAAUAAUAGUUCGCACCGUAGUCAUUUUUGCUACUGGUGCAAAAGUCUCCUCAUAAUCCACACCAUACUCUUUGUUUGUUACCAAGGACAACCAAGCGAGCUUUGUACCUAUCAAGAGUUCCAUCAGAAUGAAGUUUAAUUGAAUAAACCCAUUUACAUCCAAUUGGCCGGACAUUUGAAGGACAUGAAACAAUGUCCCAUGUGUCAUUUUCUUUAAGAGCCAAAAGUUCUUCCUCUAUUGCUUUCUGCCAACAUUCAUGCUUGGAAGCUUGUGAGUAACAAGUUGGAACAGAAAUGGUGGAUAAAGUAGAGGAAAAACCAUAUCAAUUAGGAGUACUUCGCAGUCUAGUAGAUCGCCGAGUAGGCUCAAGAGAAGUAGGCCUUGAAGAAAUCUCAGAUUCUAGUUGUGGAGCAGUCUCAGGUGGCGGAUCAGUAUCGGGAGGGGGUAAAGCUGGCCGACGUCGUUCAUACACAAAUCCAGGUUUGAACCACUUAGAAGAAGAUGACAAAUCCUCAAAAGUAGGAAGAAUAGGAGAAACAGAAGAUGACUCAACAUGAGUAGGAAAGAAAUACUGAUUCUCAAAGAAAACAACAUUUCUAGAAAUAUGAAAUUUGUUAGAACUUGGAUCAUAGCAAAUAAACCCUUUCUGAGAAGUACUAUAACCCAUAAAAGCACAUUUAGUAGACUGAGCAGAAAGUUUAUUGCGUUGAGAAGGAGGCAGAUGUACAAAACAAACACAACCAAAUGUAUGAAAAUUAUGAUAGCUAGAAUUAUGAUGAUAAAGGUGAUAAUAUGGAGACUCAAGAUUUAACACUUUAGAUGGCAACCUAUUAAUUAAAUAGACAGCAGUAGACAAAGCUACCACCCAGUAUUUGGAUGGGACAGAGGACUCAAUCAAUAAAGUACGAGUGACAUCUAAGAGAUGACGAUUUUUAUGCUCAGCAACCCCAUUUUGUUGUGGCGUAUAUGGGCAAGAGCGUUGUGAGACAAUUCCUUUCUCAAGUAAGAAAUUAUUGAAUUCAUGAGACAUAUAUUCUCCACCAGAAUCAGAUCUUAAUAUUUUGAUGCAUGUAGAAAAUUGAUUCUCAAUAUAAGCCAAAAAUGUCUUGAAUAUGGAAAAUACCUCAAAUUUGAAACGGAGAAAUAUACCCAUGUAAAUCGACUAUAAUCAUCUAUAAAUGUCACAAAGUAUUUGAAAUGAGCAUGAGAAGUAAUUGGUGAAAUGCCCCAAACAUCACUAUGAAUGACAUCAAAACAUUUUGUAGCACGACUACCAAAAUUAGGAAAAGGAAGAGUUUUACUUUUGCCUAAUUUACAAGUUGAACAAUCAAAGGAAGCAGCUGAAAAUUGAUUUUUAUUUCCCAAUAAACCAGAAUUCGAUAAAUGAGACAACACAAUAGAAUUUGAAUGUCCUAGACGCUUAUGCCAAACCUCAAUCUUACUAGCAGUAGAAAUACAAGCAAAAGAUAGAGCAGGAGGAAUGGAAAAAUGUAUAGGAAACAAUCUUCCAACUUUAGGCCCCUUCGCGAUUAUCGUCCCCGACACCUGAUCCUGCACAAGACAACCAUUACGAGAAAAAUUCACAUCACAAUUAUUUUCUACCAAUUGUUCAACUGAAAUAAGACUAGUUGAGAGUUUUGGUGAAACAAAAACAUUCUUGAAAGUUGGAGUAAUGUCCCCAACCUUGGUAAUGGGUAAAUUACUAGCAUUGGCAACCUGAAUCUGUGAUGGACCGUGAUACUUACGAACAUUUUUUAGUAUACUUGUUGAGUUGGUCAUAUGAUUGGAAGCACCAGAAUCAACAAGCCAAAAAUUAGAUGCAGCAUCAUUACCUUGUAAUCCCAAAGCCGAAAAGGCUGACACGAUCAUUUGUUGGACCAUUUCAGGAGUAAGAAUUUGUCCUGUAGAAGAUGAGUUGUCAGUUGUGGAACCAUUUACCUCAGCUUGAAAAGCAUUGACCCUACGAUUUUGAGGGUGUGUGGGACACUCUUUGAUAAUAUGUCCAUGUUGUUUACAGUAGUUACAAAACUUCUUGCCACAAUUGCUAGCAAUAUGACCAUAUUGCUUGCAGUUAUAGCAUUGAGUUCUAGUCAUAGCCCUGCCCUUUCCUUUUCCUUGAGCAGCAAAUGCAACAGUGACAUCAUUUGCUUGCUUGAAAGCAUUUUGUGUGACAAGACGCUGCUCUUGACAAAGUAAUUCCCUAAAACAAACAUCCAAAAAGGGAGAUGGGUCACGAUUCAUCAAGUUAGAGCGAACACUCUCAAAAUCGUAUCGCAAUUUCAUCAAAAAUUGGUCUCGCUUGCUUUGCUCAUGAACUGCUUGAAUUAUAGAGAGAGAUUCAGCAGGUAUGUUACCAUAAACAAUAUCAGUAAAUUCAGCCCAUAAAUUCUGAAAUCCAGAAUAAUAAUCCUGAAUAGAGAGACCUCCUUGAGAGUAAUUAGCAAUUUCAUGCUCUAGCUGAAAUCUUUUAGCGCUAUUGUCUUGAUUGUAAACCUUUUGUAAAUAAUCCCACAUGGCCUUUGCAGUCUUGUACGACCUGAGAUUAAGAACCAAUAAGAGGGUCAAUUGACUCUAAAAUCCAUGUCAUCACCCGAGCAUCCUUGACCUUCCACUGACCUAGCUUUGUAAGAUCAUUAGGAGCAGGAUCACUUCCAUCUAUAUGGCCCCAUAAUUCUUUUCCCGUGACAAAAAGUUGAAAUUGAAAUUCCCAAGCUGAAUAAUUUUUUCCAGUGAAACGAACACUGAAAGACUCAAAUUGAUGUGAAGUUAUGUUUCUGAAUAGAGAAAAUCAAAAACACAAUGACACAAAAAAAUAGCUAGAAUAACCAAGACCAAAACCAAAACCAAAAGCCCUAGAUUCUUAGGACUGCUUGUUGACGAACAGUCAAGAGAACUAAACUUUCAAUUUUUUUUUUUUUUUGAAAGAACCACAAAUGAAAGACACUAUGAAUCAAAAUAAUGAGAAGAAGGCUCUAAUACCAUGUCAAGAAUAGAGAAAACACAAGAGAAAUUGAAGAAUGACUAUCUCAAUUACUUGAUUCCCUUACAUCAGAAUACAUUGGUAUUUAUAUACAAGAGAAAUAAGAGAGGAAAGGAAGUAAAAUAUCCUACACUAAAUGUAAAUCCUACAAAAUAUUCUUCCACUAA